GGCCAGACUCCUACGGGAGGCAGCAGUGGGGGAUAUUGCACAAUGGGGGAAACCCUGAUGCAGCGACGCCGCGUGAGUGAAGAAGUAUUUCGGUAUGUAAAGCUCUAUCAGCAGGGAAGAAAAUGACAGUACCUGACCAAGAAGCCCCGGCUAACUACGUGCCAGCAGCCGCGGUAAUACGUAGGGGGCAAGCGUUAUCCGGAUUUACUGGGUGUAAAGGGAGCGUAGACGGCCGUGCAAGCCAGGAGUGAAAGCCCGGGGCCUAACCCCGGGACUGCUCUUGGAACUGUGCGGCUGGAGUGCGGGAGGGGCAGGCGGAAUUCCUGGUGUAGCGGUGAAAUGCGUAGAUAUCAGGAGGAACACCGGCGGCGAAGGCGGCCUGCUGGACCGCGACUGACGUUGAGGCUCGAAAGCGUGGGGAGCGAACAGGAUUAGAUACCCGUGUAC
rnacentral:rRNA from 1 species